AGAAAGGCUGGAUUGCAAAUCAUCUCCAUCAAUACCAAGGUUUUUGGCACACAACUAGGCAACUUCAAGGGGUUCUAGCUUGCCAAAAACACCUUCAAGCCCAAGAUGGCGAUAUCUUUCUUGUCACCACUCCUAAAUCAGGCUCUACUUGGUUAAAGGCAGUGAUGUUUGCCUUGGUGAAUCGGGUUUCCUUUCCUGACACUAAACAACACCCUUUGCUCACUAACAACCCUCAUGCUCUUUUGCCUUUCUUGGAGAUGGAAUACAUUGGCAAAGAGAAUCUUGACUUCACCAACUACACUUUUCCUAGGCUGUUUUCAACUCAUCUCCCACUCUUGUCACUUCCCAGAUCUGUGGAGGACUCUGAGUGCAAGCUAGUUUACUUGUGUAGGAAUCCUAAGGACAUUUUCGUGUCCCUUUGGCACUUCACUAACAAGUUGAGACCCAUUGAUUGGGGUGCUAGUUCACUUGAAGAGACCUUUGAUAAAUUUUGUAGGGGAGUGAAUUUGUACGGGCCAUUUUGGGACCAUGUUUUGGGUUAUUGGAAGGAGAGCCUGGAAAGGCCUCAUAGGGUAUUUUUCUUGAAGUACGAGGAAAUGAAAAAUGAGCCCAGGAUUCAAUUGAGGAGACUGUCUGAAUUCUUGGGGUGUCCAUUUUCCCUUGAAGAAGAGAAUAGCGGUGUCUUGGAUGAAAUCUUGGAGCUGUGUAGUUUUGAAAACCUGAGCAAUUUAGAAGUGAAUAAUAUCGGAAGGCUGCAUUCCGGAGAGGAGCAUCAGGCCUUUUUUCGACGAGGCGAAGUUGGUGAUUCCAUGAAUUAUCUCACGGCUGAGAUGGUGGAAAAAAUUGACAUGAUCACUGAGCAGAAGUUGCAUUGUCAUGGUUUAAAGUUCUAGUUCGUUGUGAAGGCCGCACCAUCUUCCUUUACUGUUUAUCAACAUGCAUCUUUUGUUGUUAAGCUGAGGUCAACAUCUAGGCCAUUUAUCGUAUGGUGCAUUAUUAUUGUCAAUCAAACCUGUCAGCAAUAAUGGCAUGGGCAUUGUACGCUGCAGUACCGGUGAGGGAAGCGGGAGCACCGAGCAGAAUAUGUCUUUAUCAAGGUAGCUUACACGUGAUAUUCUGGGGUGUUAAUAUAUUUGAUUUGUUGAUUGCUACGUCACCAAACUUAUUAACGUAUCCCUAGUGAGUUUCCUGCCAUUGCUCUAUGCUUUGUAAUCUUGCUUGUUUACAAUUGUUUUUAUGAACCCAGUUUGUGUUGGUUACUACAAUUUCUUGGUGUAAAGGAUGGACGAUCCUUUAAAUGACAAGUUUAUCACUACAAGGGGGUAUUUUAAAAUUCUAAUGCAUUUUCAUAAAAAGUUUUAGAAAAAAAUAUAUAUUAAUUUUUUUUUGAUAAAUAAUACAAUUUAAACACAACUUUUAUUGAGAAUAAUAGUUGAACAUAAUUGUUGUUGAGAAUAAUAGUUCCUAUAAAAAUCAUGUCUUUCUCAAUUUAAUUAACAUAUAAAAAGUAAAUCUAAAAUUCUAUGAAUAUCCAGUGAUCAAAGUGUGUUAUCAAUGACCUUUUCUUUUCCUUAACCAUUUGAUUUUUAAUCUUACUUGUUGAUUAUUGAAUUUUCAUAAAUUAUUUGAUUGAUUUUUGUUUAGAUUAAUUAAUUUGUAAGAUGAAAAUGUUCUUAAACAUUCACUAAAUAACUGCUAUUUUAAAUAAUAAUUGUGUAAAAAAACAUAUUUGAGACGUAAUUACUAUUCCAAAUUUAUAUAUAAAAAUAAUAUUUUAAACAUCUUCAUAUUCAAACUAUAUUAAUUUUUAAAUAUUUUUUUAACAUGUUUUUGUUGUUGUCCUAUAACUUUCGGCAAGCUAUUCUAUUUCUUAAAAAACAAAUCCACCACCAGGUGUCCCGUUAUGUUUGGUGACUCAUAAAUUGAAAUGUUUGGUGACUCGUGAAUUUGGAAAAUAUAACAAUAUACGUCAAUGAUUAGGAACUCCGUUCCAAAAUAAUAAUAAUAAUAAAAAGGAAAGGUAAGUCUACUUUUUGUGAUUUUGUCAAUUUGUGCUCUAUCAUCAUUAUUAUUAUCAAGUAUGAAGUGUAAAGCCGGAAGUUGAUACUACACCAUUUAAAUAGAGUAAUUUAUAGUGUGUUUUUUUUAAUUAUUUUGAACAUUUUUUAUUGUUUUUUUUUAACUUAAUCUUUCUACUUUGUGAUGAAUUUAGAGUUGAUAAUUUAUUUUUUAUAUGGUUAUUCAGUAUAAAAAAAUGUUUUAGCAUUGAGUUGGUAUUAAAAAAUAUCCUAGCAAUGCAAUAUUAUUUAUUAUAAAACCAAAUUAGUUAAAUAAAAAAUAAUUUCAAAAAGAUUAGUUUACUAAGCUUUGUAGAGUCAAUUGCCUAAUUUACGAUACCUUGUAUGCCUCAGUUUUAAGGUCUAACGAGAUAUUUUAUUUUAAUAAAACUUAAUUAUGUGAUAAUCUAUUUUUUUUACUACUUAAACAAAAAAUUUUGAAAAAAAAAUAUAUUAUUAAAUAUUCUGCAGAUUAAUAUUAUCUUGAAUAUUCUGUUUCUUAAUAUCAUAUACUUAUAAUAGAGCAGAUAUAAUUCGCUAAUGUACUGAAAGCGAGGGCCGUAUCAAUUUUUAAAGGCAUAUAUACUGUUUGGCAGCUGGGCAAAUUAUUGUCACUGCUAGUGCUAUUUCUAAUAUGAAUUUGCUCAUAGAAAGUUUGGAGCAAAAUGAUAACAAUCAAUAGAAGGCGAUCACAUGGUGAAAUUCAUUCAUUCACGCAGCAAAAUAUAGAUUAAAUAAUUGCCGUAACAACACGUGUCAUGGCAUUGGUGCACUGAGACCAUAAGGUUUUUCGUUCAACCUUUUUAUUGUGCCCAAUUUGAUAUAAAAUAAUUAAAAAAAUAAGAAGGCGGGUCUCUUGAAUACAGCCUCUCAACUAAAAAAUCGAACAUGAUUUUCAGAAGGAUCUUAAAAGGAACCAAAGGUCAAGGGUUGACGGCACAAGUUCACCCUCUCCCUUGUCUGCUUCUGUACUUUUGUAUAUAUUAUUUUGUUAUUUAUUUAUUUGUCAUCAUAUCAUUGAAAGUAUGAAUGAGGUGGGUUUUUACAGGUCUAUAUAAUGUUAAUGGGAAUGAUCUAAGGAUCAACUUAAAUAUAUUUCCCUUUCAAAAUAUAUUACUCGAACCUAAAAAUCCCAAAGCAUUUCUUCUUGAACUACAAUGACAAGCCCCGAGCAAUCUCUUUCUCUUCCCAUAUUCUUGCAAGAAAAUGAAACCUCCCAAGAAUUCAAAGACUUGAUAGCCUCGAUGCCCACUGAGAAAGGCUGGAUUACAAAACAUCUCCAUCAAUACCAAGGUUUUUGGUACUCAACUAGGCAACUUCCAGGGAUUCUAGCUUGCCAAAAACACUUUCAAGCCCAAGAUGGCGAUAUCUUUCUUGUGAGCACUCCUAAAUCAGGCUCUACUUGGUUAAAGGCGGUGAUGUUUUCCUUGGUGAAUCGGGUUUCCUUUCCUGACACUAAACAACACCCUUUGCUCACUAACAACCCUCAUGCUCUUGUGCCUUUCUUGGAGAUGGAAUACAUUGGCAAAGAGAAUCUUGACUUCACCAACUACACUUUUCCUAGGCUGUUUUCAACUCAUCUCCCACUCUCAUCACUUCCGAGAUCUGUGGAGGACUCUGAUUGCAAGCUUGUUUACUUGUGUAGGAAUCCUAAGGACACUUUCGUGUCCUUUUGGCACUUCAGUAACAAGUUGACACCCAUAGAUUGGGUUGCUACUUCACUUGAAGAGACCUUUGAUAAAUUCUGUAGGGGAGCGAGUUUGUAUGGGCCAUUUUGGGACCAUGUUUUGGGUUAUUGGAAGGAGAGCCUGGAAAGGCCUCAUAGGGUAUUUUUCAUGAAGUACGAGGAAAUGAAAAACGAGCCCAGGAUUCAAUUGAGGAGACUGUCUGAAUUCUUGGGGUGUCCAUUUUCCCUUGAAGAAGAGAAUAGCGGUGUCUUGGAUGAAAUCUUGGAUCUGUGUAGUUUUGAAAACCUGAGCAAUUUAGAAGUGAACAAGAUCGGAAGGCUGCAUUCCGGACAUGAGCAUCAGGCCUUUUUUCGACGAGGCGAAGUUGGCGAUUCCAUGAAUUAUCUCACGGCUGAGAUGGUGGAAAAAAUUGACAUGAUCACUGAGCAGAAGUUGCAUUGUCAUGGUUUAAAGUUCUAGUUCGUUCUGAAGGCCGCACCAUCUUCCUUUACUGUUUAUCAGCAUGCAUCUUUUGUUGUUAAGCCGAGGUCAACAUCUAGGCCAUUUAUCAUAUGUUGCACUAUUACUGUCUAUCAAAACUGUCAGCAAUAAUGGCAUGGGCAUUGUACGCUGCAGUACCGAUGAGGGAAGCGUGAGCACCGAGCAGAACAUGUCUUUAUCAAGGUAGCUUACACGUGAUAUUCUGGGGUGUUAAUAAUAUAUUUGAUUUGUUGAUUGCUACGUCACCAAACUUAUUAAUGUAUCCCUAGCGAGUAUCCUGUCAUUGCUCCAUGCUUUGUAUUCUUGCGUGUUUAUAAUUGUUUUUAUGAACCCAGAUUGUGUUGGUUACUAUAAUUUCUUGGUGUAAAGGAUGGACGAUCCUUUAAAUGACUACAAGGGGGUAUUUUAGAAUCCUAAUGCAUUUUCAUAAAAGUUUUAGAAAAGAAACGCAUGUCAUAAAAAUUUUAGAAAAAUAUCAUAAUUUAAACCGAGCCAGUAUUAAAAUUAUUAUCUGAACACGACCGCUGUCGGAAAUAACAGUUAUUAUAAAAAUAAUAUCUCUCUCAAUUUAAUUAAUAUGUAUAAAAAAUCAAUCCAAAAUUUUUUAAAAAUUCAUUGGAUAAAGUGUGUUCCCAAUAAUCUUUUUUUUUCUAUUUGACCUUGAAUCUUAUUUUUUGAGCAGUGGCGUCUUUAUAAAUUAUUUGAUUGAUUUUUAUUUAGGUUAAUUAAUUUGCGUGAUAAAUAUAUUCUUAAACAUUCACUAAACAACUGUCAUUUCAAAUAAUAUUUAUGCAGAAAAAUAUAUUUUGAAAAAUGAUUGUUAUUUCCAAUAAUAUCCAUGUACAAGAAUAAUAUUCUAAAACAUGAGCAGUGUUAAUUUAAACUAUAUUACUUUUCAAAUAUUUUUUAAUAUGUAUUAUUUUCCGGGAAUUUUAGCAAACUAUUCUGUUUUUAAAAUAAAAAAUCCACUAUCAGGUGUCCUGGUAUGUGCGUGUAUGUUUAUAUAUAGUCACUCAUUUCGUAGUGGAAAAUGAAUAAUUACAAUCCUAAGUCAAGGUUUUUGAUUAAUAUAUGAUGGGCAACACUGAUGAUUAGGUAUGUAAUUACUCGUCGGCAACAUAAAUUGAAAUAUUUGGUGAUCACUCGUGAACUUGAAAUGUUCAAUCUCUUAGUGAAUUGAUUAUUAAUACGUCAAUGAUUAGGAACUCCAUUCCGAAAUAAUAAUAAUAAUAAUAAUAAUAAUAAUAAAGGAAAGGAAAGUUUACCCGUGAUUUUGUCGAUUUGUGCUCUAUUACUAUUAUUAUUAUUUUAUAAAAUAAUAAUAAUAAUAAUAAAGAAGGAAAGAUAAGUCUACUUUUUAGGUGAUUUUGUCAAUUUAUGCUUUAUCAUUAUUAUUAUUAUUAAGUAUGAAGUGUAAAGCCGGAAGUUGAUACUACACCAUUUAAUGGACAACAAUAGUAAUUUAUAGUAUGUUUUUUUUUUAAUUAUUUUGACUAUUCUUUUCUGUUUUUUAUUUUUAUUUUUUUUAACUUAGUCUUUCAAUUUUAUAUUGAAUUUAAAUUUAAUAAUUUAUUUUUUAUAUGGUUAUUACAGUAUAAGAAAAUAUUUUAAUAUCGGGUUGAUAUUAAAAAAUAUCUUAAUAAUGCAAUAUGAUCUAUUGUUUUAAAAACAAAUAGUUAAAUAAAAAAUUAUUUAAAAAACACUUGUUUAUUAAGCUUGGUAGAGUUAAUUAUCCAGUUUGCGUGUUUGAUAAGAUAAUUUUGGUUGCCUCGUUUCGCAGGUCUAACGAGAUAAUUUUUUUAAAUAAAAUUUAAUUAUGUGAUCAUUUAUUGUUUUAUUAUAUAGUUAAAAAAGUAAUUUAAAAAAACAUAUUAUUAAAUUUUAGAAAGUCCAGUUUGUGGGUUUGAAGAGUUUAAUUUUUUUAAUUUUUUAAUUUUACAUAAUUGAAAAUUAAAUUUUAUAAUUUAUUUUAUUUUCUAUAAAAUUAUUAUAAUCUUUUUUGAAAAAAAGUUUCAGUUGUAGUCUAUUUUGUUUCUUUCUUCAAGGCUAUUCUAUCUAGCUUCGUCUGCUCGCUUGGCACCCUUGUUGGUUGAUGCUCUUUAGUUUCACGGGCUACGGCUCCGUCAAAGUAAGUAGCUACGAAAGGGAACUGUAGGAGGGCCCAUUUAUCAAAUAAUUUAUAGAUCCAGCUGUCAAAGCCCACAACGCACAUCUUCCACUUUACAACUGAAAAAUGCUGCUUUGGGCUUUCUGGAGCGAGUGAAUUUGGACGAUCAGUUUCAAUUCCUAGAGCCCAAUCAACGAUGCACCCUUCCUGUGGCAAAGUUUGGUUUACAAGGUUUAGUAAAGGAGUAAUGAUUAUGAUUUAAAAUAUUUUUAAUUUAUAGAUAUAUUAAAAAAUAUUAGUUUUAUUUUUUAAAAAUUAUUUUUAAUAUUAAUACAUCAGAAUCAUUUCAAAACAAAUAAAACAAAAUUUUAAACAAAAAUAUUUUUUAAAAUUUUUAAAAAACACAUUUCAAUUAUGUUCUCAAACAUUGUUGUAGAUAUAUAGGAUAAAUGAAAUAUAAUAAUAAAGAUGAGAUAAUUAGCGUGUUUGGAAUUACAGUAUAAAUUAUUUUUUAAAAUAUUUUUUUAAAAAUAUAUUAAAAUAAUAUUUUUUAUUUUUAAUAUUAAUACUUUAAAACAAUCCCACACAACAAUAAUAAAAAAAAAAUCUCAAAAACACGGUCUACUGCACAAACAAACAGUAACAGAACAUAAUGUAGACAUGUAGUUAUGUUUGGUUUGGAAUUCAGGAUGUGAAUUUUUAAUUGGUUAGUUGAAAGAGUUUUAAUUACCUUCCAGACUAAUUAACAUAUAUUUAAUGUUUUCCUUCCAUAAAUAAUCUGCAGAUUAAUAUUAUCUUGAAUAUUCUGUUUCUUAAUAUCAUAUACCUAUGAUAGAGCAGAUGAAGGAUGCAGCUCAACGUGUAAAUCAUGGUCCCUUCUGCGCUAGGCAGUCCACAUCAACCCGUUAUUCUACGCUUAAAUGCUAAUGUACUGAAAGCCAGGGCCGUAUCCCGUGUGAUCAUAUCAAUUUUUCAUUAAUUCAAUACAAGGCGAUCACGUACAUGGUGAAAUUCAUUAAUUCACGCAGCAAACUAUACAUUAAAUGACCAUAACCACACAUGUCGUGACAGUGGUGCACUUGAGACCGUUUGGUUGUGCGUUCAACCUUUUUACUGUGCCCAAUUUGAUUAAUAAAAAAUUAAAAAAAAUUGAUGGCAGGUCCCUGAAUACCCACCUCUCAACUAACAAAUCUAACAUGAUUUUAGAAGGAUCUUAAAAGGACCUAGCACAUUUAAUUUCAGUAAUUUAUCAUGACUCAAGUGGCUUUUGUGCCGGGCAAAGCAAUAUUCAAGGGGGGAAAUUGAAAGUUAGUUUGAGCAUCGUUUUAGACGCUGCUAGUCAGUUUAGUUUUUCUUUAAUAUAAAUUAAGAUGGGAAAAGGAAAGCUAUCCAAACGUCAAGGGUUGUGGGCACAAAUUCACCCUCUCCCUUGCCUUCUUCUGUACUUCUGUAUAUAUUAUUUUAUUAUUUAUUUAUUUAUUUAUCAUCAUAUCAUUGAAAGUGUGAGAUGCGUUUUUACAAGUCUAUAUAUUGGUAACGGGAAUGAUCUAAGGAUCAGCUUAAAUGUAUUUCCACCCUAAAAAUCUCAAAGCAAUUCUUCUAGAGCUACAAUGUCAAGUCCCGAGCAAUCUCUUUCUCUUCCCGUAUACAUGCAAGAAAAUGAAACCUCCCAAGAAUUCAAAGACUUGAUAGCCUCCAUGCCCACUGAGAAAGGCUGGAUGGCAAAACAUCUCCAUCGAUACCAAGGUUUUUGGCACUCAACUAGGCAACUUCAAGGGGUCCUAGCUUGCCAAAAACACUUUCAAGCACAAGAUGGCGAUAUCUUUCUUGUCACCACUCCUAAAUCAGGCUCUACUUGGUUAAAGGCGGUGAUGUUUUCCUUGGUGAAUCGGGUAUCCUUUCCUGACACUAAACAACACCCUUUGCUCACUAACAACCCUCAUGCUCUUGUGCCUUUCUUGGAGAUGGAAUACAUUGGCAAAGAGAAUCUUGACUUCACCAACUUCACUUUUCCCAGGCUGUUUUCAACUCAUCUCCCACUCUUGUCACUUCCCAGAUCUGUGGAGGACUCUGAUUGCAAGCUUGUUUACUUGUGCAGGAAUCCUAAGGACACUUUCGUGUCCUUUUGGCACUUCACUAACAAGUUGAGACCCAUAGAUUGGAGUGCUACUUCACUUGAAGAGACCUUUGAUAAAUUCUGUAGGGGAGUGAGUUUGUACGGGCCAUUUUGGGACCAUGUUUUGGGUUAUUGGAAGGAGAGCCUGGAAAGGCCUCAGAGGGUAUUUUUCAUGAAGUACGAG
rnacentral:lncRNA from 1 species